GCGGGGUGUUAAUAUUUACCCUUUUUCUUCUUCUUCCCUCUUCUGCUAUUCACUACUCAUCCCCCUCGCUGCUCUCCAAACACCGCCGGAGACUCAUCAUCUCCAUAACUAUGCUCCCCUGAGACCCAAACACCACCAUUCUUCACCGGACACUCACAACCAUGCCUACAAUUCGAAGAAGUUAUCAAGAUCGUUCGACACCACCGUUUCCUCCUUUUCUUCUUUCAUUAAUCCAUUCCCCGGCGUUCAAGAAUCCUUUGCGUUUCACUCUUCGUCUCUUAGUUAUUUUCAAUUAGGCCAAGAUUUUUAAAGUCUCUCUUCAUUACUGGAUUCAUCGGGAUAUUGGGUUGUACCUUUAUGCUUUGUAGUUGUAUGACGUCUGGUUGCGAUGUCAGUUUGAUUCACCGUCAUCGUCGAUCAAGAAAAAGAGUACAAAUCUUUCCCCUUUGAUUUCCAGGUAGUGUCUUUGUUUGUUUAAUUGUUUGUAUUUUUUCAAUAAUGACUUGGAAGUGUUUUAGGCAUGGUAAACUUUUAUGUCAUGAAACUGUUUUUUCUUGUUCUGCUAAGCAUGCGUCAUCAUUGCUUAAAGGAUCAACCGCUGUACCCAAGGAUCUACAAGAGGUAUACCAAAGGUAACCUAAUCCAAAACAUCCAUCAAACAAAUAUGAUUAGUCAACAAGUGGUGGUGUCAGUAAAAUUUAAAUAGUUGUAUUGUAAGAAAGAAAGUAUGGAUUUCAUCUCAUUCUUUCUUGUGAUCUGUACAAGAAAUGGCAUUAGGUAUUGCAAUUUUUGUUACCUUAUUACCUUGAUAGGUAAUUUGGUUAGUACUUAUUAGAUAAUUCUCUUUAUCAAAUAUCUAUGAUUCUGUAACAAUAUAUGAAUGAUUUCAAUCUUUUUAGAUACAUUUUUGGUGCUGAUUUUUUCAAUUAAGGUCCUUAUUUGAGGAUGGAAUGAGUUGUUCUUAGGAUUAAUCUUCUAUUUUGAUAAUUUUGUUCUAUUAAACGCAACUAAAUUUUAGAUUAUUGUUGCUAGCGUUUUACUGUUUGGGUUACAUAUGGCCAUCAGGUAAAACAUAACUGCAUCUCUAAAAUGGUACACAUGUUCUACUUUGUCUUAGUAUCAUUUCACAAAUUAGUGGCUUAUUUAGCCAUGUAGUUUUUUAUUUUUCAUUCACAUAGGUGACAAAGAAGCUGUUAAAACAAGUUAUUAUUGAUGCAUAAAGCAAUCACUACCUAUAGAAACUAUGCCCAUCUGUAAGUUUUUCACCUAAUUAUACAUACACUUCUAAAUGGUUAAAAUUAUUAUUUACUUGCCUUUUGUAGCUUCUCUACCCGAUUUUGUACCAAUUUUUCAAUAUAGAACUUGUAUCCUUUUCAGCCUUUGAUUGAUCAUCCUGUUACAUGUAAGUUUUUAAAGUUACUUGGAUUUACUUAUAAAGAUUGUGAAGGCCUUUUGGUUGUUUCUUUAAAUGACAUUUGGUUGCAAUUUUUUUUCUCACCCCUGGUUUAUCGUAAUAUACAACUCUAUAAAUAUAGAUAUUUUUAAUCAUAUAUUAUAUUAUUAGUUAUUUAUUUUUCUUCAUAAGUCAUUUUUAAUGUCAUAUCAAUUUUUUUUAAUGUUAUAAGAUCAGAGUAUGUAUGUUUGAUGCUUAUGUAAUUAGUGUUUAAUAUCUUAAAUAGCAUUUUUAUUGUUUUAUAAGAAAACCACUAAAGGAUUCCAUGAAACUGUUUUAGGCCAAGUGCUCGGUAAACUUUUAUAUCAUGAAACUAUUUUUUCUUCUUCUUCUAAGCAUGCGUCAUCAUUGCUAAAAGGAUCAAUGACUAUACCCAAGGAUCUUGAAUUAGGCAACCCAAUCCAAACCAUCCAUCAAACAAAUGUGAUUCGUCAACAAGUGAUGAUGUCGGUAAAAUUUACUGAUCACCAUAGUUACUGAUCAUUAUUAUAUUGUCAAAGUUUUAAAUCGUCUUUUUUGUUAUUCUUAUUUUUUAUUUAUAGAAACAUUUGUAUAUUAAAUCGACUUUCUUUACGCUUCAAAUGACAUUAUAAUGACCAAUCUUGCAGGUCCAGUUGCUGAUAGAAGAGAUGGCAUUAGCUCAUUUGUAUCAUUUUAAAAUCUUAUUUAUUCAGGAAAAGAUGAAGUUGUAUUGCAUUUAGCCCCAAAAGAAUGUUUAGAGCAUCAAACCAGUUGUAUUGCCUCCUGCUGCUACUACAUAAGUUCAAAUUGCAUGAGAUGUUCGACAACCAAAUGUUAAGUUAUACAUAUCUUAUCUUUCUUUGGCACACAUACCCGAAAGCUCCAACCAGAUCAUAUUGGCGUACUCUGGUGGCUCAGUUGGAUUUUAUCAUCAACAAGGAGUAAGAAACAUCAAGUUUAUGUUCUUUCCAAAUAAGUUCAUGAUAAUGAUUUCUUGUGCUUGAUCACAUCAUGACAAAACUGCUACUAGUAUUUCUUUUUUGACUUAAUUACUGUAUUUUCAUUUGUAUUUGUGUAUGACAACUUGAAGUUAUUGGAUGACAUGGCAUAAUUGAUCAGUUCAACCUACUGUGUCCUGCAGUGUUCCCUGUUGUUGGAAAUUGUGGCUUAUUGUCAUCAAUUAAAGCGAAGCCAAUGCAAGAAUUUGUUGCAUUUGUAGGAUGGAAUGAGUUGUUGUUCAGGAUUAAUCUUCUAUUUUGAUAAUUUUGUUCUAUUAAACGCAACUAAAUUUUAGAUUAUUGUUGCUAGCGUUUUACUGUUUGGGUUACAUAUGGCCAUCAUGUAAAACAUAACUGCAUCUCUAAAAUGAUACACAUGUUCUACUUUGUCUUGGUAUCAUUUCACAAAUUAGUGGCUUAUUUGGCCAUGUAGUUUUUUAUUUUUCAUUCACAUAGGUGACAAAGAAGCUGUUAAAACAAGUUAUUAUUGAUGCAUAAAGCAAUCACUACCUAUAGAAACUAUGCCCAUCUGUAAGUUUUUCACCUAAUUAUUUAUACAGUUCUAAAUGGUUAAAAUUAUUAUUUGCUUGCCUUUUGUAGCUUCUCUACCUGAUUUCGUACCAAUUUUUCAAUAAAGAACUUGUAUCCUUCUCAGACCAUGAAGCUUUUGAUUGAUCAUCCUGUUACAUGUAAGUUUUUAAAGUUACUUGGCUUUACUUAUAAAGAAUGUGAAGGCCUUUUGGUUGUUUCUUUAAAUGACAUAUUUGGUUGCAAAUUUUUUUCUCACCCCUGGUUUAUCCUAAUAUACAACUCUAUAAAUAUAGAUAUUUUUAAUCAUAUAUUAUAUUAUUAGUUAUUUAUUUUUCUUCAUAAGUCAUUUUUAAUGUCAUAUCACUUUUUUUUAAUGCUAUAAGAUCAAAGUAUGUAUGUUUUAUGCUUAUGUAAUUAGUGUUUAAUAUCUUAAAUAGCAUUUUUAUUGUUUUAUAAGAAAACCACUAAAGGAUUCCAAUUCCUUUGACAAAUUCCAUUCAUUUCAAAAAUAUUAUGUGAACCACUUGUUCCCUUACAUUACUCUGAGAUUAAUUGCUAUUCUUUUUCGCAGUUCCUUUAACAAGUUCCAUUCAUUACUCUGCAACAAUAAAAGGUUUUAGAAACCAAAUAAAAAACACUUGAUGCUUUUUAUGUGUCUUAUACAGUUUUUCUGCUCAUGUUUUUAUUUCCAUUGAAUGUCAAAUACCUGAGAUGUUCCUGAGAUGAAGUAUACAUGCAUCCGAUGAUCCAUUGAAUGUCAAAUACCUGAGAUGUUCCUGAGAUGAAGUAUACAUACUUGAUUCAUUUAAUCCAAUAUUGAUGUAUGCUAUUCCUCUUGUUUUAGAAGUAAAGCGUGUGGAUGUUCCUGAGAUGAAGUAUACAUACAUCCGAUGAUGAAAACAAAUUUCUAUUUUAUAUCCCAACCAAAAAGGUGGAAGGUGGGAUGGGAACUGACUCUUGAUCUUUCUGUCUGAGUAAAAGACGAAAAUGCCCUCCUCAUCAUUUGAAAAUUUUUGACUUUGUUGAUUUCAAAAUCAACUAGUAUUAUAAGAUUUGAGAAACCUAUGUUUGAUUUCCUACAUGUAUUAUUUUUCAAGUUUUUAAGUACAUUUUAUCACCAGAUAUCUACACUACACUGAUGCAUGUAAUUCCAAAAUAUUUUGAAAUCAUGAUUCGUUAAUUAUGCAGACAGAUCUCCAUUGGCUAAAAAACAUAGCAACAACAUCCUAACAGGUGAGGGGACAUUAAUUAGGGUUCAUUUUGUUUCAGAAGCAACAACCAAGGUGAAAAACAACAUGCACACAAAUUUAUGUUCUUCAAAUCUAUUUCAUUCCAUUUUUUAUUAUACUAAUUCCAAACUUUUUUUUAUCAUAAUCAAGACUUUUCGUUUCUGAAGGGAGACAUAUCCAUCAGCUGUAUAGCUUCCUCGAAUUCUUGUAGCUGCAAGCUGUGAUCAAAUUUAUUCCUGGAAGUAAUGGUCGCUAUACUAAAAUAAUGUUGUUGAUCAUGAAGGGUAAAUUUGUCCAAAAAUAUAAAUUUUGGCUGGAAAGUAGGAGUGAUGGGUGAAAAGGUCGAUAACCUUUUUGUUUUGAAAUAUGAGAUUCACUAACUUUAUUAAACAAAAACUGUUAACUUAAACAUUCUCCAA